rnacentral:rRNA from 1 species
AUUGAACGCUGGCCGCAGGCCUAACACAUGCAAGUCGAACGGUAACAGGAAGCAGCUUGCUGCUUUGCUGACGAGUGGCGGACGGGUGAGUAAUGUCUGGGAAACUGCCUGAUGGAGGGGGAUAACUACUGGAAACGGUAGCUAAUACCGCAUAACGUCGCAAGACCAAAGAGGGGGACCUUCGGGCCUCUUGCCAUCGGAUGUGCCCAGAUGGGAUUAGCUUGUUGGUGGGGUAACGGCUCACCAAGGCGACGAUCCCUAGCUGGUCUGAGAGGAUGACCAGCCACACUGGAACUGAGACACGGUCCAGACUCCUACGGGAGGCAGCAGUGGGGAAUAUUGCACAAUGGGCGCAAGCCUGAUGCAGCCAUGCCGCGUGUAUGAAGAAGGCCUUCGGGUUGUAAAGUACUUUCAGCGGGGAGGAAGGGAGUAAAGUUAAUACCUUUACUCAUUGACGUUACCCGCAGAAGAAGCACCGGCUAACUCCGUG